rnacentral:rRNA from 1 species
UGAGGAAUAUUGGUCAAUGGGCGCAAGCCUGAACCAGCCAAGUAGCGUGCAGGAAGACGGCCCUAUGGGUUGUAAACUGCUUUUAUACGAGAAUAAUUUGAUGCACGUGUGCGUUAUUGCAUGUAUCGUAUGAAUAAGGACCGGCUAAUUCCGUGCCAGCAGCCGCGGUAAUACGGAAGGUCCAGGCGUUAUCCGGAUUUAUUGGGUUUAAAGGGAGUGUAGGCGGUUUGUUAAGCGUGUUGUGAAAUUUAGAUGCUCAACAUUUAACUUGCAGCGCGAACUGGCGAACUUGAGUGCACACAACGUAUGCGGAAUUCAUGGUGUAGCGGUGAAAUGCUUAGAUAUCAUGAAGAACUCCGAUUGCGAAGGCAGCAUACGGGAGUGUAACUGACGCUUAAGCUCGAAGGUGCGGGUAUCGAACAGGAUUAGAUACCCUGGUAGUCCGCACAGUAAACGAUGGAUGCCCGCUGUUAGCGCCUGGCGUUAGCGGCUAAGCGAAAGCAUUAAGCAUCCCACCUGGGGAGUACGCCGGCAACGGUG